CCUACGGGAGGCAGCAGUGAGGAAUAUUGGUCAAUGGGAGAGAUCCUGAACCAGCCAAGCCGCGUGAGGGAAGACGGCCCUAUGGGUUGUAAACCUCUUUUGUCGGAGAACAAAACCCGGGACGCGUCCCGGACUGCGUGUAUCCGAAGAAAAAGCAUCGGCUAACUCCGUGCCAGCAGCCGCGGUAAUACGGAGGAUGCGAGCGUUAUCCGGAUUUAUUGGGUUUAAAGGGUGCGUAGGGGGUCUGUUAAGUCAGCGGUAAAAUUGCGGGGCUCAACCCCGUCGAGCCGUUGAAACUGGGAGACUGGAGUUGGCGAGAGGUACGCGGAAUGCGCGGUGUAGCGGUGAAAUGCAUAGAUAUCGCGCAGAACUCCGAUUGCGAAGGCAGCGUACCGGCGCCAGACUGACGCUGAGGCACGAAAGCGUGGGGAUCGAACAGGAUUAGAUACCCGAGUAGUC
rnacentral:rRNA from 1 species